UUUCAAUUUCGUUUCGGGCCAACAACUUAAUUGCUACCCUCAAAACUAAUAAUUUUCUGGUCUGAAAAAUACAAAUAAAGUAUUAAUUUUAUUUUCCCAACAAUUUUCAUAUAGAAAAUAUCAGCCAAAAAAUAAACAGAGAAAUUGAGAGAUCCGUCUUCAUUGUCUCGCCAGAGCUAAAUCACCUGUAAAUUCUUUUGCUGUUUGUUCCAAUCGUUAUCCGCACUUGAUCUCUCUGCAAACAUGGUAAUAGUACGAUAUUUCUCUAUUAUAUUUACUUAUUGGCCUUUUUUUGUCAUUUGAAUUUAUUUUUUUUUAUUUUGAUUUGUAUUUGGUUUUUGUUACGUUUCUUUUCUAAAUUAUGCCUUUUAAUGGUUUAAUUUAGAAUUGUUCACUCGUCUUUAUGCUUAUAAAUUUGCUCACUUAACCUCAAUAUACAUAAUUUAGCGCAAAAAACCAAUAAUUAGGACGUAGAAAGAACAAAUUUUAAUUAUAAUUUAUCUGAGACGACGUUGUAGGAAAUUAGGAAUCACGAUUGAAAUGGUGAAAGAAAUGGAUAAUGGCUAAUGCAAUUAACAACAUUUUGAUUACUACACUGGGAGCAUCAAAUCUUUAUAAUGUAUCGCAUCACUGGGAAGCAAAAAUCUUUAGUUUUUAUUCCUUUAACUCUCAGAAAUAUUUUGAAAUGAAGUGAUGGUUGUUUCUUUGUUGCUAGUCAAUUCUUAUUUUAAUUCAGUUUAUCAAAAGAUGAUAGGAGGUUUGCAAAGUAUAUGUAGAUAUACUUAGAAAGGGAAAAAGAAACUAAGAAAAAAUAUAUAGAAAAGUUUUGCUGCUGGAGAUUGCAGCUUCCCUUGGGGUUCAGUUAGGAUGAUAGAUAAGGAAAUGAACCACAUAUCCAUAUCUACAUCGCUUUGAAUUUAAAGUUGUAUUUCAGCAAAGUCUUAUCCCCAUACUUGUUUGGAAUCGAUCCUCCAAUUUCUCUCAACCUAUCAAAGCCAUCUGUAAGGUUAAAGAACAAAGAUUCAAAUUCAUUUUUCUUAUAAAAACUAUGCUAAUUGUCUACUUGCAUUGACUUGCUUCGCAGCAUGUACAAUCACCAACUUUUUUUUAGGGAACCUGAGAUUAUUAGCCGUGUAAAGCUAAGCCUUAGUCACAAUAAAAUUUAGGAUGGGCUAAAUGGAUUUUUUGCCAUUCUAUUUGGUUUAUCACAACUAGAUUCUUCGCAGCUCCCACAGGCCAUAGAGUGCUUCUAAAUAUUAAGAUAUAUAAUUUCUACAAGUCAAACUGGAAAAUGCUUUUGGUAUAAAGACUUUAUCCACUUGUCUUUAUAGCAAAAGCAUUUUCUCUUCAGUACUCAUAAACAGUUAGGGUCUUCUCUUCAGUACACAUAAAUAGCUGUGUGGCACUUGUUUAUUUAUUGAUAUACUUUAGCACGCCAUGCAACAGUUUGGGAAACUCACAUAUUAUCAUUAAUAUUUAUCUGGUAUUUAGACAACUUCUCGGAGGCUUGCUGAUAGGAAGGUGGAGAGGUUUCAGAAAAACAUUACCAAGCGCGGGGCUAUCCCUGAAACUGGCACCAAGAAGGGAAACAAAUAUCCUGUUGGUCCUAUCUUGAUUGGGUUCUUCAUUUUUGUCGUCAUUGGAUCAUGUAAGAUUUUAUUUUCUCCUUCGUUAUAGCUCUCUCGAUUAUUAAUAUCCAUCUCAUUUCCUUGCUUUGAUUUUAUUGGUCUUUUUUGCUUCUGUUGAUGUCAUAUCCCCUAAUACUGACCAUUCUUGGGAACUAGAUAUUAGUAACUAUGAUAUAUUUCUGUUUAUGUGUACUGAAGAGAAGACCCUAACAGAAAAAAUCAAGUUCCUGAACUAAACUAUACGCUUUGAAGAGUCUUUUGAAAAAUUGUUUCUAAAAGUCUUUGUAGUUAUUGAUGGGAAUCGGAGUUUCUUUGGGACAUUUCCAAGAGGGUUGUCUGGACCUAACAACUAAAUAAAUAUUAAUUAUUAUAAAUUUUUAUGUUCUUGCUUAAUUAAAAACUGCCUUGUGGUCUAAAUAUAGUAUCAUGAAAAUUGGCAAGUACCUGGUCACUGAACCAGCAAUUGUGAAACUUAAAUUAAGUUGCAGAUCAUCUAACUUUUCCGGUGUGUUUGUAGCCAUCCAUUUUUUAGCUUUUUGAUAAAGGAGGACAAUCCGAUUGAAGCAUGCAACAUAUUAGUUGUGCUAUAUAUGUGUGCUUUUCCAUUCGGUUAUAGGUUAUACUUGUAUUUGGUGUGUUAUACUACCGUUCAGUGCUUAAAGUAAACGAGUGAUGUGCUGUUGAACGGCCUAAUUCUGCUCUGCUAUUUUUUGCAUUGUUUCCAUAUUUCUCCAAAUUUCAAGUUGGCUAAUGCUCCUUUCUACCCUUUGUCUGUCUCUUCUUCCAGCUUUAUUCCAAAUAAUCAGGACUGCAACAAGUGGAGGCAUGGCUUAACCAGUAAUCAUGAUCUUUGAUACAGAUGAUAGCGGGUUGUUAUUGUAUUUUUUGGGUUAGUAGCAUCAAUAUUGAAACGCCAGAGAACCUUCAUUAGUUCAGAAUUUAAUCUUCGAAAACUCAUUAAAUAUUAAUAAGAAUAUCCUAUUCUAUUCCAGUUUUUGUUUUUCUUAUCUUUAUUAUGUUAUCAGAUGACUUGCUGUGUAUCUUAAAUGGAUUUACUGCAUGUCAUCGCAAGAAUCGUUUCACUUCAAUAUGCCCGUUUUCAUUGAUUAGAUGAAGUUAUAUGAUUGAAUCGAGCUCAUUAGCAC
rnacentral:lncRNA from 1 species